GGUUGAUAUAAUGCCCUGGAGGGUAUCCCUGCAUCUAUGAAGGAGGAUAUGGAUUCUUCGUAUAUCCAUUCUGUCCUGGAUACCUAUUUUCUAUUACAAAUCGCAACUGAUAGCUCAUAAAUGUGUGGUUCACACAUCUCACCGAUAUUCAGCAUAAGCAGUAACUGAAGAGAAGGCAUAUGCAUCACUUGAUUUAGGUUCGGUGCAUUUGUUAUGGCUUUCAGAAACUAAAUUACUCCAGGUAGAGGCUAUUUAUCUUUGUAUUUGUGUCCUGCUCUUUCUCUAGUUGUGGAUCAUUAAGGUUAUAACUGCUGAGAUUCAAAUCCACACACAGAUAUAUAUGUCACUUCUCUAAAGUCUACUAAAAGUAAAUUACAAUGUAAUAAACUACUUAAAAACAAUGCACAUUCUAAAGUUUUUGCUGCUCAGAAGCUGUUGUGAAAAACAUGUAUUGGUGACUGGCAUCGAGUCAGAGGUAGCUGGCAAAAGUCACAUGUCUCUGGGUGUUUCCUCUCUGGCCAGUAUUCAAUAGCUGGAUCAGUUAAGCAGCAGUCACAGGGCUACAGCAUCACUCUGGUGGACCUGUGCUCUUACUAAGCCUCAAGGUAAACUUAUACCUACCAUACUGGAAACAUGCCUAAUUCUUCCAUACUGAGAGAAAACCAUUACAUAAUUCACCUUUAUUGGGAUGUGUCAGUAGAUUACAUAGCUUUUGAUAUUCAUUUUGUCUAGGUGAUGCCCACAGCAGGUGCCCCCAAUAAUCCACCAUAGCAGGACUACUAAUGUGAACUGGAUGAUUUUCUCUAUUAUUUUGGACUAGUGGCAGUGUUGUGAACAACAGUGACCUACUACCAUGUAAGACAACUGAAACUGGCCUACAUGGUGGGCUAUGGUGUAUGCCCAACCCUUUGUGGAUGCUUAUGGAAAGAGGACACAAUUUCAGAAACAGUUAGCACUUGUUUCAGUGCCCUUUGUUUAAAGAAAUAAGGCUGCCACAAUGAUUUCUGGAUAUAGUCACAUGAAUAGUUUGAAAUGCAGAUCUCCUCCAAAAUAUACGUCUACUGUUUGGCAAAGGUUGCUUUUAAUGAUGAAUAGUGGAGGCUGCAUCCUCCAUUACCUUAAAAAAAAAAAAAAAAAGGUUAGAUCACUUGUUCCAGAAAAUGAAAUGAAUCUAAACCUUCUGGGUAUCUCAGACUGCAAUUUAUAACCCACUUACUCUGGAGCACUCCUAUUGAAAUCCCAAUGAAGUCAGUGUGAUUGCUCCACGAUUAUUCCAGAGUAAUAGAUUGUGAAUUGCAGCACCAAUGAGUAGGUAGCACAUAUUAAUCAUUUCAAAUAUCUACCAACCUUUCUCACUGUCUGAACUGCUUGAGUGUCAGGAAAUACUUAAGCUCUAGUUUUCUUUUCACUCUGCAGUUCCAAUUACUUCACUUCUGCUCUGCUACCUUGACAGGAAUCGCACUGAACAAUUCAGUAUUACAACAAAGAUUCCUAGAUAACAGGAAACAACAUGUUCAUUUUGAUCAGAUGCAGGUGAGGUGGUGACUGUCCUGAAUCAGUGCCUGGAUGCAGCAAUGGACUGGAUGAGAGUGAACAAAUUGAGGCUCAAUCCAGACAAGACAGAAGUACUAUUGAUUUUAUUAGGCAAUCUGCCCAUUGCAGAGAACCUUUGCUAAGUAUUUUCAGCAUGACACAACUUUUAAUGAGGAUAUUGACAUAUGAACAUGCAAAGAUAUCAAGAAAUCCUAUCAUAACUUUUAAUUGUAGGUAAAAUAAUUGCAGUCUACAAAUGUUUGGCAAGCAAUCAGGAUUGUGUUUUUUCAGGUGUUCUAUUAUAUAGUAACAAAAACAUAAUGAAAUUUCAAGAAAAUAUUGUUUCAUUGCAAGGUUAUAAACUAUACAUAUUUUUACUGACCAGUGAGGUUGUGUUGAUAUAUUCAGGGGCUUAAACAAACAUGUGAUGCAGUAUA